CUAGUUGGUAAGGUAACGGCUUACCAAGGCUACGAUGGGUAGGGGUCCUGAGAGGGAGAUCCCCCACACUGGUACUGAGACACGGACCAGACUCCUACGGGAGGCAGCAGUGAGGAAUAUUGGACAAUGGGCGCAAGCCUGAUCCAGCCAUGCCGCGUGCAGGAUGACGGUCCUAUGGAUUGUAAACUGCUUUUAUACGAGAAGAAACACUACUUCGUGAAGUAGCUUGACGGUAUCGUAAGAAUAAGGAUCGGCUAACUCCGUGCCAGCAGCCGCGGUAAUACGGAGGAUCCAAGCGUUAUCCGGAAUCAUUGGGUUUAAAGGGUCCGUAGGCGGUUUAAUAAGUCAGUGGUGAAAGCCCAUCGCUCAACGGUGGAACGGCCAUUGAUACUGUUAAACUUGAAUUAUUAGGAAGUAACUAGAAUAUGUAGUGUAGCGGUGAAAUGCUUAGAGAUUACAUGGAAUACCAAUUGCGAAGGCAGGUUACUACUAAUGGAUUGACGCUGAUGGACGAAAGCGUGGGUAGCGAACAGGAUUAGAUACCCUGGUAGUCCACGCCGUAAACGAUGGAUACUAGCUGUUGGAAGCAAUUUCAGUGGCUAAGCGAAAGUGAUAAGUAUCCCACCUGGGGAGUACGUUCGCAAGAAUGAAACUCAAAGGAAUUGACG
rnacentral:rRNA from 1 species